rfam:Myotis lucifugus cont2.25659, whole genome shotgun sequence.
GGUGGUUCUCAGGUGAUGCACCCUGAAAUCAGGGUCCCUCCUCUCUGGUUCCAGGUGUGUCACCUAAGAACCACA